CCAACAACGUUGAUUAACGAAAUAAAACCCAGGUGAAAUAAAACCAUGAUUAAAACAAAUAAACAUGGCGCCCCCGCCAUAUGUACGGCAUGUUAUAUGUGUUUGGUGGGGGCGCGACGGUCACGCGCAGCGGAGCUUAUGGUUGCGUGCGUUGCAAGGCAAUGGUCACACUCGGAUCAAGCUAACGUAACAUCAGUGCAAACUCUGGUGCAAAGGAACGAAGAAAAGCAGCAGGAGGAGAAGAAAGCCCUGUAAAGAGCUGCAGGUGAAGAGACAUGUAGGACCACACCUAGCACAGCAGCCGGUGAAACAGAGCAUGCAGCAGGUGAAGGAGCAACGAGACACAACUCGCCCUGAUUCUGCACUACAGCCUGCAGACACUUUCUCCCCCACAACAAGUUCUGAUGUCCAUGAGUCCAUCAGGGAAGAACCGAUUGAUCCUGCUGACUGGCCAACCCUGUCUGGCCAAAGUUACUAAAAAUUAAAAUAUUCUGAGACCAUUAUAUUUGCUUGUAGUACAUUUAUCAAAUAUAAAUGUACAAUAUAAUACAAACAACAUAGUGUACCUAUAAUGUAUAGCAGAAUGAUAACAUGGAAUGGAAGUGGUUCAAAGUGGCCGUAGGUGGGAGGGCGCAAAUCUUAGUAUCGCCUAGGGCAGUGUUUCUCAACUGGUGGGUCGCGGACCCGUUUGUAGUGGGUCGCGGGCCUUUGCAUGGCUCGUCCGUCCAUGUUUUCCGUCAGCGCGGCAAUUAGAACGCGGAAGCGUACACCCCAUCUGCAAAAUAAAAACUUCUAUCUAAUACCACCAAUAAAUGAUUAAGUCAUUCAAAUGAAUAAAGUCACAAGCAGAUGGACUUAAAAUACGCAGAUUCAAAUGUGGCUGAAAUAGCAAGAGAAUUAAAACAACAAGCAAUUCCUGUGUUGGGUGUAGAGCGGUUACAUAUUCAUAUAUUUUAAUAAACCUAUUAAACCUGCUGAAGGACACUAUUGCAAUAAAGUAGUCCGAUCCAAAGGACUGCUAGGUAUUUUGAGUUCAUGCUACAAAAUGGAAUGCCCCGUUCUUUUUUUUACAGUACAAUAUCUUAGCAGCAGGUCAUUGUUGCCUUAACAUUAACUUCAUUACAGUGGUUUUAGUAGUUUCAUCUUCAGCAGGGUAUCACAUUUCAUAAAACUCUCCAUAGGUCAUCUCUGCCAGCUCUUAUUCUUAAAAACACAACUGGAUCAGUUAACCAGUUUAAAGUAGUGGUAUACUUUACCAUUGCUUUUACAUAUAGUUUAGCUAUUUGUAAUAAUCAAAUGACUAACACUACGUUACCUUUUCGGGGGCCCACUUCAUACAAAUAUGCAUACAAAAAAUACACAAAAAAAAGUAGGUCACAUGAACACAUUUAUUUGUCUUGCAUAUUGGUUGAUGAAUCAAACGUCCUUAUCAUUCACUAUCCUUAUGUUGCCAUACAAAUAAUGCAACUGACUAAUCAGCACACGGCCUACUGUUAAACAAAACAAAUGUAUAUGACGAUGGCGGAAGA